GAACUUUCAAGUUCUGGCAGAAAUGAUGGAAAACAUAUUGAUUCAGGUUUUCUUAAAUUUGGAAAUUUCCAGAAAAUACUACCUUUUAGCUUUGCAGAAAUACUAGUAAGAUAUUAAAUGGAAUUUGUGAAAAGUACUGUAGAUUCUUCAGUUGAGCACUACUUUUACCUACACUAAACAAAGAUGUUUGAACUCUUCAUGAUAAAUUCGAUUAAUUCAUUUUCAGUUUCAAAUUAUCUUUACAUUUGGUAAAGCUUAGUAGUUCUGCACAGAAAUCUAUUUAAUGAUUCAGAUAACUAAAUUAGAGUUUAAAAAUCUAAGAAAAUAAGUUCUAAUAAAGUAAAGCUUUAAACUAUAUAACAGGAAGCUCUUAGAGUUUGUGUUCCCAACAUGUCUAACAUACUGAAGUGGAUUGGGCUGUAGUUAUAUGAUCAUAAUUACUGGACCAUGGCAUGGUUUGUUUGGUGAGCUCAGCCAUCUUAUCUGAUUU
rnacentral:lncRNA from 1 species